UAUAUCAUUUUUCAGUUUGCGUGUCGACCGGCGACAUUCCCGUGCUGGCGCACAGGAAAUGCUUCCUCACAACAAGAAGGGAGGGGGAGGAAGAGCGGAGAGUGUCAUAGCAAGAGGUAGAGCGCAGGUAGAAAGAGAAAGCAACAUGGCGGAGAAGCGGCCGAGACACGGUUCAGAAGUGGAUCCUACCACAAAGAAAAAGCCUGGACGUUCGGCUGAAGGUCUAUUAGCAAAGAAGGAAAGUGACCGACGGAGAAGGCAAACAAGGAUUUGUAUUGGCGUCGCUUUUCCUCGGUGGAGAGCCCUGAAGGAAGAAAUUGGGCUGAGGGCAGACACGGAUGUUGCCUUGCUGCUGUUGGAUAAUGCCUGAUCCUCAACCCAAUCAUUCCUCAGUCACUGCGACCUCCAGCCGAUCACAGCGGAGGGCCAGAAACAAACAGAGGUCGCAGCAAGUGAAGAAACUUGACCCUGACGUCAAACCCAAACCAAGAGCGUGUCCUCCAGUCUUACAAAUGUCACUUGUGUAGAUCUGACAGGAACAGAGGUGGCCAAAGUAAUCAGCUAUCCAACAGCACCCUCUGGAGCUGGUGAAGAGAAAGAUGACGUGUAAACAAGAUCGGCUAAUCAACCCAUCUACACAGGAAGCCAAUGUUUUGACAGAGGAAGUGUGUGGAUAGAAGUAGCCUGACACACACAGGUCAACUUGCAGGAAAUACAAAUGAGCUUCUGAAAAUAUAACAAAUUAAACAGAUGAAAAAAAAAAAUCUCUUUUGUUGCACAACUAAUUUUUACAUGUAUACCAUUGUAAAUUUUCACAAGUUGGUGACUUCAAGAAACAGGUUGUCUCUGUCAGUCUGUCUUGCUGGUUUUACUAAUCUGUUUCAUCACUCACUUGCUUAAUUCUUAGCCUCUAAUCUUUUGUCUCUUCCUUCCUCUGUGUGAUAGUGAGUGCACGAUGGAAGUUGUUGACACUGAAUGACAG